rnacentral:lncRNA from 1 species
ACAGGUCAGGAUGAGAUCAAAGGAUAAUGUGGCAUCAUGGACCUCAGUCCACCACUAGAAACUAAUAAUCAAGGGAACAUCAGUGCCUGCGAGUCAAGGCGUAGCUAUUUUCACAUCUGGGUAAGAGGCCAAGAACAGGAGAAUAGAACCAUGGCACAGACUAUGAAAUUCUUGAUGACAGAGACUCAGUAUUAUUCAUCUUUCUGGCCUCAAGACUAAUAUACUGACCCUGAAAGAAAUAGGUACUCAAUUAAUAUUUGGUGGUCUGUGCCCUCCUGUUGGCCCAGUUUCUUCCCAGCGUUGUUCCUGAUUGAGACUGUAUGCUGGGUUUUGGAAAGCCCUGCUUUUUGUUAAUUGUUCAAACAAACCCUCUCUAAUAGCAGCACGUGUAAAAGAAGACUUUAGAAUUUAAUUUAUUCCAGUGUAAUGAGGCUGCCAAAAAGAGAUCAAGCUUAAUGGGUUCCAGCAUGAGUGUGCAGUUUCAGAAAUGAAGUUCCACUUCAAUUCACAAGUUAUUAUCUACUUUCAUUAAUGGAAUUGGAAAAGAGAGAGUGGAAAAGAGAUAAAGAAUGAGGAAGAAGAGAGAGAUGAGAGAGUGGGAGGAAGAAAAAAAUAAAGAAAAUAAAAGACCAGGAUGAAAGAAAAAAAAGUCGACCAAAUGGAAAAGAAAAAGUCAGACUAAGUGUAAAUAGGAAGCAGAAAGGAUCUUUCCCCUACUGUGCUGGUCUUGGGAGCUACACUGAAGGUAGUGCAACCACACGGAAGAAGGAGGCAGAAUCAGCAGUUUGAGAGCAGCAGUAAGAACACUGUUUAGACUUGAGGCAAGAAAUGGAACAUCGAUUAACUGAGUUAACUCAGGGGAGACCAUUCACAAAGUGAAGUGGACAUCCUGAAGAUGAGGAACACUUGAUAAAGAAAAAAAAUCAGCAUCCUUAGUCUGGCGAAGAGGAAAUUUAAA